GGGAACCACCACUGAUCUCAGAUGCAAACUGCUUCUUAUUCACAGCUGGCAGACUAUUUGAUGCUACAGUAUAUGGAGACUGUGCAUGCUUUCCAUUAUUCGUUGCAGUUAUUCUGUAUUUAUGCUGCAGAAAAAAGAAAUCAGGACAUCAAACAGAUAACACCUAUAUACUGAUUCUAAAUAAUUACACCACAGGACAGACUAACAGGUCCAUUUUUUACUGAGAGAAAAGUCCUAUCUACAAUGAAAAGGAUGUUUUACAUACGGUUUCUGUGUAUUUGUAAAGAGUUACCACCAUACAUGACAUCUAUCUAUCUAUCUAUCUAU